rnacentral:rRNA from 1 species
CCUACGGGUGGCAGCAGUGGGGAAUAUUGCACAAUGGGGGAAACCCUGAUGCAGCGACGCCGCGUGAGUGAAGAAGGAUUUCGGUAUGUAAAGCUCUAUCAGCAGGGAAGAAAAUGACGGUACCUGAGUAAGAAGCCCCGGCUAACUACGUGCCAGCAGCCGCGGUAAUACAUAGGGGGCAAGCGUUAUCCGGAGUUACUGGGUGUAAAGGGAGCGUAGACGGCAGCGCAAGUCUGAAGUGAAAUGCCGGGGCUUAACCCCGGAACUGCUUUGGAAACUGUGCAGCUAGAGUGCAGGAGAGGUAAGUGGAAUUCCUAGUGUAGCGGUGACAUGCGUAGAUAUUAGGAGGAACACCAGUGGCGAAGGCGGCUUACUGGACUGUACCUGACGUUGAGGCUCGAAAGCGUGGGGAGCACACAGGAUUAGAUACCCCAGUAGUC